ensembl:lncRNA
GGUUUCAACAAAAGCCACUGACAGGAGACCAAUUACCAGUAGAAACCAACAGGCACCAUUACAGUUUCCGUUAAAACCAAUACAAUUUCAUUAUAACCAGUAAAACCAUUACAAAUUAUAUGAUGGUUUCUAUUUAUUUAUUUAUUUAUUUUCAGUAGGGGAUUGAAAUAAAUGUAUGUUUGUAUGAACUAAAAUACUUGAAAUCUAUAGAAAAAGAGCAGAAUGCAAAAUGUAUAAUAUGACAAUAAUAAGCAUAAACCUAGAAUCUAGAAACCUGAAACAACAGAAUUCUUCAAUUUGAGUAUUCACAUCUCUCUCUCUCUCUCUCUCUCUCUCUCUCUCUCUCUCUCUCUCUGUGUGUGUGUGUGUGUGUGUGUGUGUGUGUGUCAUGUUAAUCAGACUUAUCACCUUAUAGGCGAUUUCAUUUACUCUAUUUUCUAACUCAGUAGGUCUAUCUCUCAAAUGUAGCCCAUUGUAGAAUCACUGCUGUCUCUUUAUGAAUGAAUGGAAUAUAGAGACAGAAUACCAACCAAAACAUCCAGAAAAAAACACAUUAUAUAAAGGUGUAAUGUAGGUUUUGUUUCAUGUUUUGGCUUCAUGUUCAUGGUUUCAUGUCUUUUAUUUUGUUAUUGUUUGAUUGCUGUUUGUGUCAUGCUUCCCUUGCCCUCUUGUCUUCAUGCUAUUGGUUCCUCUUGUUCAUUGUGUCGUGUUCUGAUUGGUUUAUUGUCUUGUCGUGAUUAUCAGUUCUGUUUGCUCAUUGGUUUGUUCAUGCCAUGUGACCCUCAUUGUCUGUUAUAAGUAGUCAUGUUAUUGCCUUGUUCCCUGUUAUUAACGUAUGUACCUGCUGUUGGUGAGCCUAGUCUGUUUUAGUCAAGUCUGUUCGUACCUCAUCAAGUCUAUGUUUGAAUUUUGGAUUGCACCUUGUUAAUAGACUGCACUUGGGUUCAUCUACGCUUUAGUGGACUCUUUACAAAAGGUUAGAGAUUGAUUUAAAUUUCAGUGAGUGAAAUAAGUAUUUGAUCCCCUACCAGCCAGCAAUGAUUCUGGCUCCCACAGAUUGGUUAUGUGCCCAUGUGGAACACAGAUUAGUGUCCUGUCACUUUAAGAAGUUACUCCUAAUGUCAGCUCAUUAGGUGUACAAAAGACACCUGCCCACACAAUCUGUAUCUUCCAUUCCAACUUCUCCCACCACUAUGGGCAAGGCCAAAGAGCAGUCAAAGGAUGUCAGAGACAAAAUUGUAGAACAGCACAAGGCUUGAAGACCAUCAGCAAGAAACUUGGUGAGAAGGAGACAACUGUUGGUGCGAUUAUUCGGAAAUCGAAGAAAUACAAAUCAACCAUCAAACCACCUCGGUCUGGAGCUCAGUGCAAGA